GGGGAUUUAGCUCAGCGGCAUAAGCGCCUGCCUUCCAAGCAGGCAGUCGACUUCGAUCCCUG
rnacentral:tRNA from 1 species